CCACCGACUACGCCAUCCACCGAAUCCCAGGACGAUUGAGAAAACAGAGAGUCUCGGUCGGAGGACUUAAAAACACCGAACGCCUUGCCAAGAGGUAAACUUGGUAGUUAUUCUUUUCCUUUCAAUUAUUUAAACUAGUUUGCUUAGUUAAUCAGGUUCAUGCUAUCUUGAAAAGAAAACAAAAAUGUUAAAAAUAGUAAGCCCCAUGUGAGAAUGCUCAUGGCAUAAAACCCAUAAGUACAUUCACUGUGGUGGCGUAAAAAUAAAUAUAUAUAUUCCUGUCCUAUAAAAAUAAAAAUAUAAAAAUAAAUUUAUGAUCCUACUAAAGAGAGUAACAUUUAUUGAGGAGGCUCAACAUGAAAAAGGCUAGAUAUUUAUGCUAACACUUAACUAGUUCCACAAAGCUUUGUUGUCUAUUUGAGCUCCACAGAAUUCAAGGAUCAAAGAAGACUAGCAGACGGAGGACAUCCUAAUCGCUUUCAGAGUGCUGCCGACAUUCAAAUACACCUCCGCCACCUGCUAGCUACAUCAGAAGAAAAUUCGUCAAAAUCCAGCUUGGGGGAGAGCACCCCCAUUUAUCCAGCUAAGUGUUCUACUCAUCUUUAUACUUUACUCAAAUAAUAAAAAUAUGCAUAAUCAUAAAAACCCAAAUAAAGAUUUUGUGCUUAUAUAUAUAUAUAUAUCUUUGCUUAGUUUGCUAAAUAAAUAAAUAAAUAAAUAAAGUUUGCUAUGAACCCUCAUGAUAAGCUCUCACAUGGAAAUGAUGAAUAGUUGCUCUGCCAUGAUUAGUUCUAAAAAUUGAAACCUCUCUUAAGUUUAGGCAUGACUGUUAUUAAUUAAGAUUUGCUCUAAACCUGAACUUGUGGGGAGAGUACUUGAUCUAAAGUCUAAGUCGUUAACGGAUACGAUAUGGGAAGGUUGAGCUGCUGUUUAUCUGUUCCUAGAGAUGCUAGAAUUCUGGAGAAUUUUAUCUUUGAAAAUCUUUAAAUUGUUGCAUGAUGAGUUCCUGUAUGAUGAGAGUUUAAAUUCCUACCACAGCCAUAUAUACAUGCUUGCUAGACUUUGAGCCACACAUUUACUUUUUACUGCUUAUGAGCAUUGAGUGUGGUCAAGCUUUGUAGACCCUUAGGAGCUUGUCAUGUGGUUAAAUCAAGAUUCACUUGCACGUUCACUCAUACAUGCUGCUUCUACUCCGGAAGUACGCAUCCACAUAUAUUCAUCCAUUUCCAUCUCCAGAACCACCCAAAAAUAUUCUACUCCUAAUCCGGGAGAGAAUAGCCAAAAAUAUUCCUGUUUUUCCCCUGUGAAAUAAAUGCUCAAGUUAUCUUGUUACUACCACUUGCUAUAUUAUCUCAUGAGAUGAGUGCUCUAAAAAAAAGAAAAAAAAAUAUAUAUACGAGGAAAAAAAAAGGGGCAAGUGCCCGGAACCUCGAAGAAAAGAAAAAGUGAGACGAGAGGUAAAAAUGGACAAGUGUCCGAUAGUAGAAUUAGGGGUACAAGAUACCCACCAGAGAGAAAAGAAAAAGAAAACAUAGAGCAUCUCAUUCUCCUCAAAAAGUUUCAAAAGAGCAAGAAAGGUAUGUAUCCGUUCAAAAGAGCACAAGUAGAAUUAGACGUUCACCAUUGUUAUCACCAUCAUCACCAUACACCAUUCAUUCGCCACACAUGCACAUCUUGAUUUGACUUAUUGACUUGUUCUUCUGGAUCCAUGGUUUGACUAUACAAUAAAUGUCUUGUAAGUAUGUAUAUUUUAUCUCCCACCUAUGAGCUCCAGAUAUUAAAGCCUUAUUAGAGUAGGGUGAGAGAGAAGACAAUGUCACUAUCCCUUAUACCACAAAUACCACAUAUUUUGAGAGAAGGCAUAUACCAUCACUGCCUUGGUAAGGAUCCAGAAAUACCACAAAAGAGAGAUAUGAGAGAGUCAUACAAAGGAAUCUCUGAGUUUUAUUUGGAAAUCUGCAAAAACUCCAGAGCUAUAGCUGAUCAAGAAUAAGAGACAUGGCACUUGGCUAGACUGUUCUAUCUUUUAACCACUCAAGACAGAAGUGACGGUUACAAGUCCCAUGGUGAAAGGUAAAGUAAGUAAGUUUUAAGUCUUGACAGUUUACUCUAACUCAGAGAUGAGACCUCUUUUAAAAGCAUGUGUACCGUCAAUUUUUAAAGAUAUUGCAACAACUUAUGAUCCAUAGCUGAGUCUAUCCUUGCUCAGGGACGAGCAAGAGGUAAGCUUGGGGGAGUUUGUUGACGGUCCUUAAGUAUCAAAUUUAACUAUCAAAUAAACAAAGAAAAGGAUCCAAAUGAAAUCAACAUCGAGACUUAGGGUUUUAUCUGACAGAAUUCCACGAGUUUUGGUGUUUGUCUAUUUCUGCAGGGGGUUAUCAGGAAAUAAGGAAGAAAGGCCCACACGUCGGGAUUACAUAGAGAUAUCAACGUGCCGCGCAAUUAUCUUACAUCUAGAAGACUCCAGAAGCCAUGGGAAGGAAGCGGAGACUGAACGGAGUCAGGGACAGGGCGCCCGCCCAAGUCCUUAGGGCGCCCGCCCACCUUUUUCAGCCAAUCACGCUCAAUCUCGCGGAUUAUGCUCCACCAACCUAAAGGAUCAAGAAUAACCGUUCAAUCAAUGUCGGUUUGAUCCGACGGCCCAGGUUCACUUGAGGGGACUAUAAAACCAGACCCCCUGGCCCCUAGAGGAGGCAACCCUUGAUCAUUAUUCACUAUUCAUAGACAGAGCAAAAGCUAGGGUUUAGAGAUGAGAGCUCUCCUCUCUUCUCUAAACUAGAGUAGAUCUAGAUAGUAGCGAGAUGGAGAGCGAAGGAGGAUUAGAGGAGAGGCCGGCCUGUCGGUUCUUCCUCCGGUUGUACUUCGCCAUGAUCAAGCUCUAAUCAAGCUUGCUCAUGGGAUGACUCUGGUAAUCUACUUCUAAUUCAUUAUGCAAUUACUAAUCAUGUAUGUUCUCGUUCACAACUCUUUUGAGUACUUCUAAUCUAUAGGACCCUAUAGGUUAGAGUUGUAGUAUAGGUGUAAGCGUGGUGCUUAGACCUAGAUUACUUGUGGAUAUCCUCUGACUAGCUGGAUCGUGUGGUAGGCCGCGUAGGUGACAGUUACGUUGGUCCCCUGUAGUCCACCUCUCGUUAGCAGGACGGGUAGGGUUUAUCGGCCUAUGGAUAAGCAUCCUUUGUGGUGUACUCUUAUCACGUGGUUCGUCCCAGACAUAGACAUACCCCUUUGAAGUAGAGAAACCAUAGUUAUCAUCUCUAUUCUGCUACCAUCGCCCAUAUACUAGAAUUGCUCUACUCUCUAUUCCCAUAUUAUCACUCACUGUUAUCUUACCUUUAAUAUUGUUCUUAUUCGAUUCUACCAUCUUUCCUAUUCACACCUAUUUACUUAUCUUAGUUAAGUUAGAGCGUAGAUCAGUUCUCCCGUUUCCCUGUGGAUGCGAUAAAACCUUUAACCGGGUAAAAGCUUCAACGGUAUUCGUGCGCUUGCGGAUUAUCUGUGUGCGUAUAAAUACCAUAGUACACUCUAGUGCCACGUUGGGGAUGACAACCUAGUAUUCAAGUGGUGUUAGCAAGUGUCAACAGGAACUAGUCAUGGCAGAGCAACUAUUCAUCAUUUCCAUGUGAGAGCUUAUCAUGAGGGUUCAUAGCAAACUUUAUUUAUUUAUUUAGCAAGCUAAGCAAAGAUAUAUAUAUAUAUAUAAGCACAAAAUCUUUAUUUGGGUUUUUAUGAUUAUGCAUCUUUUUAUUAUUUGAGUAAAAUAUAAAUGCGAGUAGAACACUUAGCUGGAUAAAUGGGGUGCUCUCCCCCAAGCUGGAUUUUGAUGUAAUUUCUUCUGAUGUAGCUAGUAGGUGGUGGAGGUGUAUUUGAAUGUCAGCAGCACCCUGACAGUGAUUAGGAUGUCCUCCGUCUGCUUGUCUUCUUUGAUCCUUGAAUUCUCUUGGCAAGGCGUGCGGUGUUUUUAAGUCCUCCGAACGGGACUCUCCGUUUUCUCAAUCAUCCUGGAAUUCGCUGGAUGGCGUAGUCGGUUGUUCCGGCGGCGCGUACUUCUUCUUGUAUGACUAUCUUCUUUCUCCACACCUGCCUCGGUGCACUUCUCCUUCGUACUCUGCCCAUCCGUCCUUGAUGAUUUUCCUCCUCUGGUUGCGGUUGCGUCAUCUUCUUCUUGUCCUGACCUACUUAGAGUCUUCAACUAUAUAGUUAGGGUCAGUAAAAUAGCAGUGUACCUUCUCAGAGGGGAAAUGCAUGUGGACUCCGCCGGUUCUAAUGUAGAUGAUUGCUUUAACGGUGCUGUGGAACAGUCUCCCAAUGGUGAUGGGUGUAUUGUACUCGUCUUCUCCCAUGUCAAUAACCUUAAAAUCAUCUGGAGCUGAAUGUAUGUCGGUUUUAGGGGCAUGGUUCUGAACAGGAGUUGAUAGGUGACUGCGGCCAUUAUGUUGUCGCCUGAUCCGGUGUCGCAAAGCGUCUUUGUUGACGGUCCUUAAUGCUCACAAUUAACUAUCAAUUAAUCAUAGAAAAGGAUCCAAAUGCAACCAACACCUAGACUUAGGGUUUUAUCUGACAGAAUUCCACGAGUUUUGGUGUUUGUCUAUUUCUGCAAGGGGUUAUCAGGAAUUAUGGAAGAAAGGCCCACACGUCGGGUUUACAUAGAGAUAUUAACGUGCCGCGCAAUUUUCUAUCAUCUAGAAGACUCCAGAAGCCACGGGACCGAAGCGGAGGCCGAGAGGACACAGGGACAGGGCGCCCGCCCACCUCUUUCCACCAAUCAGGGUGAAGUUCGGGGAUCAUGCUCCACCGACCUAAUACUUCAAGGAAAACCACACGAUCAAUGUCGGUUUGAUCCGACGGCCCAGAUUCACUUGGAGGGACUAUAAAACCAGACCCCCUGGCCCCUGGAGAUCAUACCUCUUCUACAGAAUAAAAGCUAGGGUUUCAAUUCUUCAUCCAAGUAGAGAGGAUCCCUCUAGUUCUUCUAGUUCUACCUCUAGUUCAUCUAGAUCUAGUUCUAGUUCAUCUAGUUCUAGUUCUAGUUCUUCUAGUUCUAGUUCUAGUUAGUUCUAGUUGUAAUCUAGAAAAUAGGGAGAGAGAAGAGGAGAGCGGAGGAGGAGCCAGAUCUGUCGGAUCUUCCUCAACAUUAUACUUUUGCAGCAUCUGGUUCGUUCUUCAUCGUUCUCCAGGUUCUUCAAUUCAUAAUUCCUGAGUUCUUUAAUUACUUUUAUUUACAUUCAAGUUAUUUAUUGGAUUCCCGCUUGCAUCAAGUGCUCUAGUCUUUAUAACGCUAGAGUAGUAAUUAAUAGAUUAGACGUGGUUUUUAGUCUUGCGAUUACCUGAUAUUGCACCCAAUCCUACGGAUUGUUGUGGUAGCCCUAGGGUAGUGACAGCCCUAACGGUCGACGUAUUCCACCACGUUCGGAUCGGUGUUUGUAGGACCGUAGUCAGACCUUCCUAGCCCCCUUCUCAUCUCUUUCUGAUGUCCCGAUAUAGAUAAUCUUGAAGUAAUUCUUGAUUCUUAGAUCAACUAGAGAACUCUCAGGAAACUUCCUCUCUUCCCACCAAAAAUAAUUAUAUAGUUAUCUUUGGGCGAUCUUGAUUCUUAAUUAGUACACUCACGUUCUCUGUGGAAAAUCGAUACUCUGGAAUACUCCCGGGUGAAGGCUACAUCGGUAUCCGUGCGCUUGCGGAUUUUUCUGUUUGCGUUUAAAAUACCCAACAAGCUUUCUGGCGCCGUUGCCGGGGAACGGUAGCUGCGCUAGUUUCGAACCAAGUCGUCCGUGUAUCUUUUUUCUUUUCCUUUUUUACCACACUCACCUUAUCAUUUUCACCAUACCACAUGGAUUUCACUCUAAGCAUUAAUGAGCAUGGAAUUUAUUUCAUAGCCACUCCAUUUACUCCAUGCUCAUAUGCAACAUCUUCACAAUCCAUUGGUCUCUCCAACAUCACCACAUUCGAGAUCCCCAACCCCCUCAUCCUUUCUAUUUAUAAAAACUUUAACAGGUGGUUGUCGAUGCAUAUGUUUAUAAUAAAUUUUGCAGAUCUUGUUGAGUUGAUCUUGAUAUAGGUCAGCGUAGGAGGGGAAACCACUUCACUGACAUAAAUUGAUGGUUUCCCAAGGACAAGCUUAGUGUCCUAAAACAAGCACUUAUUAGAUCAUAACAUGAAUUAUUUGCAUCAUUACCUUGUGUGUUGAGCGUAUAAGUAUAAUUGUAAAAAAUUCCUUCGGGUAUUCUUGUCACUAACCUUUCCAGGAUUGGAGCAAGAAGAUCGGAUGAAUGACAAGCACAAGGUAUGUACAACCAAUCAUCAUACAACAUUGAAUUAAAUUCAUCCAAACUUGAAUUUUGCAAAAUUCAAGCUUGGGGGAGUACUUUACAUAAAACAUCCUUUGCCAUGUUGCUAUGUUGGUUGUCCCUACCUUUGAGACAUGCUCAAUUUGUUAAAUACUAAUCACACUACUUUAUCUCUACUUGAGUAGAUCUCUAUUAAUGCUCUCAUGGUACCUUUAUUUGCUUUAGUAUAUGUCUAGGUUGGAGUAGUUUCAUUUAUCUCUUAAUUAAGCAUGGUGCUUAGUUUAGGGCUGAUGAUCUUACUUCCAAGGGAGUUUAAAUUAAGCAUGAAGCUUAGGUUAAAAUGCCCUCCUAAAUCAAAUUAGACAUGGUGUCUAGGUUGAUUUUUGAACCGAUAGUAUGCUAUAGUAGAUACUGGAUAUUUUGUUGGACUAACCCCUGCAGGAAAACUUUCAAUAUCGACCUGGGAAGUCCUGAGAUAAACUCACAUUGGAGACAAAGAGAGAGGCACAUGAAGUUUAACAAUUUACACAAGGAAGGCAUAGCUCACAAGUGAUGAUCCAUGGAGUGUGCCACAAACACGAUGCACAACCGAUAAGAAAGGAAAGCUUUCACAAGGUGAUACUGUACCAUCACUCUUCAAGUAAGGUAACAUCUUAAGGUACUUGACUAUCACUUUUAUAAGCUUCUCCUUGGUUCUGGCGUUCACAUGAGUAAAAGAGACAAACAUGUAUGAUUUACAACUCUAGAUUAACCAACCCAAUCGAUUCAACAUGUUUAGUCUUUCCAUCUUUGUGAUCCUACACUCCUAAUCAUAUGAACUAAAAUGUUGCACACUCAAUCUUUAGAAAAUGAUAGUCAUGUAAAGAAAAAAAAACAUUUACUUAGAUAGAUUAUCUUUCCAUAAGGUUAAGUGAUCUGAUCUGACAAAUGUUUUAAAUGCUACACUCAUGAUCUUAUUAUCCUUCAACUUUGUCUUGCUCACUAUGCUUAAGGUUAGAGAAGAACAAAUACACUUUUGGUUCUGUUGGUGUUUUCCACCAACAGGGCCGAUGCACUUGAUCUCUGCCUUGUCUCUAUGAGUAGGUACACUUCGAGCAAAAUAUGAAGGAGUUUUACAACUCCCAGACACCACCAAGUGAAGAACCUAGAUCUACGAGCACAAACACACUGGAGAUACUGGACACUCAAGCAAUCACUGCCCUAAGAUGCUUGAGGACGUAACUACUGGAGUAACCCCGUUGUGGAAGUAAUUACUGACCUUCUGCCGGUCAAGAGAGGCGAUCCAGGACGCCCCGUCAUCCCGAUCUCCAUCGGCAUGGUGGACUUCCCAGAAGCACUCUGCGACUUUGGCUCCAGCGUCAACAUUAUGCCCAGGCUUGCUGUUGACACCGUUUUUGGGCACGUGUAUAGGAUGACGGGAUAAGGUGGCAGUAUGCUGUUUACAGGAUGAGUUGCCGAUGAAGACAGUUGCCGAUGAAGGAGAGGUUGAAUGUGACUAGGUCCGCGGGCAGUAAUGUGUUUAUGCCGAUGGCUAUAAUGGGGGAGUCUGCCGAUGACCAUGGUAAGAAGUCUGCCGAUGACCAUGGUAAGGAGUCUGCCGAUGAUACGGAGGAGGAGUCCGGGAACUGUUGAUCGGUUUAUGGAAGAGUUUUAGUUCGUCACGGGAGAUAAUUUUGUUAUUUCCUUAUUUAUUUAAGUUGUUUUGUGUACGGAUUCCGUGCAAUUUGGAAUUCGAACUCUAGUCGUGUUUAAUUGUAGCUCUUUGAGUAGGGUAUAAAUAUGAACCCUAGGGCCUUGUAAUCUGGGAAUCAAUCAAACACACGUUUUUACUCAUAUUCCAGCAUCUACUUUUCGACGACUUCGUCAUACUUUUUUCUUUUUAUUACGAGUUCUUAGGAAUUCGUCGACUUAAGCUCGGCGUGUUCUCGAGUUCCGCGUGAGUACCUCUUAGCCGUGACAUCCGGGCGCAUCGCUGUUGUCAGGACUAAAGUAUUCGAGUUAUCACCUUUGCCGAUAGCAAGGUCAAAUCGGCUGGCACGCCUUAACGUUUGAAUCGGGUAUUAGCCCUUUGUGUUUGCAGAUCAAUUUUGCAUCAACACAUCUUUUGGCACGCCCAGUGGGACCGAUUCAAGAUCAAGAUCAACAUGUCGAUCUCUGACCUCGAUCAAGAGAACGUCAUCCCCGUGACGGAGGCCAACCUCAAGGAUGAGCAAAAGCAAGCUAUUGCCCAAGCCAUGGAAGAGUUCAAGCAGCAAUGCCUGAGGUCUUUCAGCAUAAACAGGAGCGGCGAAGUGGUCCAGAAAGAUGCACUGCCGGCACCACGGCAGGUCACCUUUGACGCCAAUCCUGGCAAGCUUCAAGAUAUGGUUGACAAUGCCAUCAAUCGAGCGUUGAUCAACCAAGCUGGUGUACUGUCUAAUACGGUUUUCAACGCCGUGGCAAGAACUUUCAAGGAAGGACAAAUCCCGCCAGAUUAUGUGGGGCCCUCCCAUCAUCAGCCAACGGCGCCAGAGGUCACGGCUCCAUCGGCUACCUUGACGAAUGCAAGUGCACAGUCUGCCGUCCCUCCAAGUACAUUGGGGACUACUGGUGUACUAUCUGUGCCGAUGGCAACCAACCCACAGAUUUCAGUUGGGCAGCAUAGACUGACAACAGAUAUGUUGGCAUCGGCCAUGUCAGGGUUAACUCUUCCUCCCAACUGGUGGGGUUAUGGCAUGCUUCCAGAGUUGACGCCGGGAACAUCACAAGUAACUGGCACGAGGGGCAAAACUCCUAUGACAUCGGCACCUCCCAACGCGCCAGUGAACCAGAGUCCUCGGUAUACCACAACUACUACUGCAAGGCCUCACACUGGGAAUCCUCAAGAUUCAAUGUUUCAGAUGCCCAACGCAUCGGCAGAGUCAGUGUUGAUGCAACAGAGGCCUAUGGCCCAGUCGGGGUAUGUCAAUUCAACGAUGGUACCCAAUUAUCCAUCAUCGGCAGCACCUAUGCCGAUGAACGCUAAUAAUGGAUGGCUUGGACAGCAAGCCUUUCCACAAUCGCCCCAGCAGGGUUAUCAGACUACAGGGUUCCAGCAAGGGCAGGUCUAUCCCGGGUUCCAAGGUCAGGGGAUUCCCAGCCAGCCAAUAAAUUUUGGACAGCAACUCGGAGGACAGCCGAUCGGUGGACAGCAGUUUGGUAGUCCGCAGAUUGGAGGACAGGUGACCAAUACAACGUUCCAUGCAGGUCACGUCCCGAACAGACACGUGGAGGUUCGCCACCAAGUGCCAGAUCCGCAGCCGCCUCAUCGGCAAGAUGCCGAUGCGUAUUGGGCCGAUAAGAUUGCUGAAGUAAUGAGGGAACAAUUUGGGAUAAAACCCAAAGUCAACACUUAUUCUUAUCGAACACCGUAUCCUCCAGCGUAUGAUUUGAUCCCGCUUCCACAUCGGUACAAGGUACCGGAUUUUACAAAGUUUUCCGGACAGGACGACACGUCAACCAUGGAGCAUGUCAACAGGUUCAUUAUUCAAUGUGGAGAGGCUGGUAACAGGGACGAAUUGAGGGUUCGUCUAUUUUCAUCAUCAUUGUCUGGAUCGGCCUUUACUUGGUUCAUAUCAUUACCUCCUAACUCAGUAAUUACUUGGGCCGAUCUAGAGAAGCAAUUCCACAAAUACUUCUUCUCGGGGGUUCAUGAGAAGAAGAUCACCGACUUGGUCAAGUUGAGGCAACGUAAUGAUGAGUCGGUUGAGGGAUUUGUGCAGAGGAUACGGGAGGUCAAGAAUAAAUGCUAUAGCCUGGUUCUGGAUGAUCGGCAGCUAGCCGAUUUAGCAUUUCAGGGUUUGUUGCCACAUAUUAGGGACAAGUAUGCCUCUCAAGAGUUCGAAAGUUUAAGUCAUUUGGUGCAAAGGAUAUCUGAUCAAGACAUCAAGCCUUUCGAGCCUAAGAGGGCAUGGAAUAAGAAAGUGUUAUUUGUUGAUGAAGCAACAAGCUCAGAUUCCGAUGAGGAACCAGUAGUCGGUUUGGCAGAGUGGGUAAAAAACAAGAAGCCGAUGUCUUGUCCUUUUGGGCAGAAGGAACCAGAGAAGUUUGCCUUUGACACCGCCAAGGCCGAUAGGAUAUUUGACUUUCUACUUCAGGAAGGUCAAAUCAAACUGUCCCCUAACCAUGUGAUCCCAUCGGCAGAAGAGUUGAAGAGGAUGAGAUAUUGCAAGUGGCAUAAUGCAACUUCCCAUGACACCAACGAGUGCAAAGUAUUCAGACAGCAGCUGCAAUCGGCUAUAGAAUCCGGGAGAAUCAAGUUUGAUAGUUCCAAAGCCCAGAAGCCGAUGAAGAUAGACCAACAUCCUUUCCCGACAAACAUGUUGGAUGCUAAGGGGAAGGCUAAGGUCUUAACGUCGGAGAUAGCUGAGAAGAGUGCAUCGGUAGAUCCUCAGCAUCAAGUUACUACUGCCGAUGCAAGAAGUAAGGGCUUGGUCUAGGAAGGAACUAGCUCAGGAAGACCUCCUCGAUCUGGUAUCGUCAUAACUCAUAGAAGGCCUCGGAAAAAUUGGCAACAAUGGGAAGAUCGGUAUCGGCGCCAGCAGGAGGAUUAUCGACGGGAAGAAGAAAGACGCCGACAGGAGUGGAAUCGGCACAGGGAUCAUUGGAAUUGUCCAUUCUUCAUCCAUUGUUGGGAGGAAAAUAUUAAGCUUCCUACUGUCAGAGACUGCCCUGAGUGCAAUGGUUAUGAUCGGUACGAUAGGACCGAUCGGCAUUAUCAUGAUGAUGAACGGCGAUUUGAUGGGCCGAUCAGAGGAAGGGUGUCAGUUCAUGACCGGCUGGGGGGCAGAUUUAGUGGGCACGACAGACUUAGUUACCGUGUCCAGUAUUUUCCCAGGGACCAAGAAGAGCUCGAGGAAAUGGCUGAUGUGCGGGUUCCCGAUGAAUUCAUAUUUUGCAGGGAUGCUAACACGCAUCAUAUGGAGUCAAGGGAGAACCGACGCCCUACGGCAAGGCAAAGACCACUUCCUCCAUGGUGCCCUGGAGGAUUGACCAAAACGCAGAAAAGGAGAUUGCAACGUGAAAGGCAAGAGGAACUAAACAAGGGAGGGAACUCUGGAAGUCGGCAGCCGUCAGACACUAAGAGGGAAGGUCCAUCGGCAGGUGUCAACAUGGUCUUCAUGUUGCCGAUGGAGUUUCUUGCACCAGCCAGUGAUGAUGAGUUGGAAUUUUCUGAUCAGAUAGCUCAGUUGGCUCUGGAUCCGAUGACGGCUAUCUUUGAGAAACCUGCCGAUGACGAGAGGCAGCAUCUUAAAGCUCUGUUCCUCAAAGGAAGGGUUGAUGGGCAGCCGAUGACUAAGAUCCUAGUUGAUGGUGGAGCUGCUAUUAAUAUUAUGCCGUAUGCGGUAUAUCGGAAGCUUGGGAAAGGGGAUCAAGAUUUGACCAAGACCGAUAUGAUGCUCAAAGACUUUGAAGGAAACGUGUCUCCAGUCAAGGGGGCGAUAUGUGCAGAGUUGACCAUCGGCAGCAAAACCUUGCCAACAACUUUUUUCGUGAUCAGCGGAAAAGGUGCCUAUAAUUUACUAUUGGGGAGAGAUUGGAUUCAUGCCAAUUGUUGUGUCCCAUCGACAAUGCAUCAGUGCUUGGUUCAGUGGGUAGGUGACAAGAUUGAGAUCGUCCCAGGGGAUUCUUCUUAUGUUAUCGCAUCGGCAGAAGCGGAUACUUAUGAAAGGACUAGGUGCAUUUCAGGAGAAGUUUGGGAGAAAGAUUUUCUCAAAGUUGCCGAUUAUGAGAUUCCACCGAUCCAAGCAGUCGGUUCUGACGACGGUUUUUAAUGGAUAGAUUCGCCGAUGAUGGAAAAUUAGGUCAGGGAUUCACAUCGGCCGAUGAUUUGGUAGAAGUAGAUAUCGGUAGUGGUGAUAAGCCUAGGCCUACCUUUAUUAGUGCUAAAUUAGAUCCCGAGUGUAAGCAACAAUUGACUAGUUUGUUAAAGGAAUAUAAAGAUUGCUUUGCUUGGGAUUAUACCGAGAUGCCUGGUUUAGACCGAUCAAUUGUUGAACAUCGGUUGCCCAUCAAGUCUGGAUUUCGGCCACAUCAGCAACCAGCCCGCCGAUGUAAUCCUAACAUUCUACCUGAUAUUAAGGCCGAAAUCACUAAACUUAUUGAAGCUAAGUUUAUUCGGCA
rnacentral:lncRNA from 1 species